GCAAGUCGAGGGGUAUAGUUCUUCGGAGCUAGAGACCGGCGCACGGGUGCGUAACGCGUAUGCAAUCUACCUUUUACAGAGGGAUAGCCCAGAGAAAUUUGGAUUAAUACCUCAUAGCAUAGCAGUAUCGCAUGAUACCACUAUUAAAGUUCCAACGGUAAAAGAUGAGCAUGCGUCCCAUUAGCUAGAUGGUAAGGUAACGGCUUACCAUGGCUACGAUGGGUAGGGGUCCUGAGAGGGAGAUCCCCCACACUGGUACUGAGACACGGACCAGACUCCUACGGGAGGCAGCAGUGAGGAAUAUUGGUCAAUGGGCGCAAGCCUGAACCAGCCAUGCCGCGUGCAGGAAGACGGUCCUAUGGAUUGUAAACUGCUUUUGCACAGGAAGAAACACUCCCUCGUGAGGGAGCUUGACGGUACUGUGAGAAUAAGGAUCGGCUAACUCCGUGCCAGCAGCCGCGGUAAUACGGAGGAUCCAAGCGUUAUCCGGAAUCAUUGGGUUUAAAGGGUCCGUAGGCGGUUUAGUAAGUCAGUGGUGAAAGCCCAUCGCUCAACGGUGGAACGGCCAUUGAUACUGCUAGACUUGAAUUAUAAGGAAGUAACUAGAAUAUGUAGUGUAGCGGUGAAAUGCUUAGAGAUUACAUGGAAUACCAAUUGCGAAGGCAGGUUACUACUUAUGGAUUGACGCUGAUGGACGAAAGCGUGGGUAGCGAACAGGAUUAGAUACCCUGGUAGUCCACGCCGUAAACGAUGGAUACUAGCUGUUGGGGGCAACUUCAGUGGCUAAGCGAAAGUGAUAAGUAUCCCACCUGGGGAGUACGUUCGCAAGAAUGAAACUCAAAGGAAUUGACGGGGGCCCGCACAAGCGGUGGAGCAUGUGGUUUAAUUCGAUGAUACGCGAGGAACCUUACCAAGGCUUAAAUGUAGUUUGACCGAACUGGAAACAGUUUUUUCGCACGACAAAUU
rnacentral:rRNA from 1 species